rnacentral:rRNA from 1 species
UGGAUAACCUACCUAUAAGACUGGGAUAACUUCGGGAAACCGGAGCUAAUACCGGAUAAUAUAUUGAACCGCAUGGUUCAAUAGUGAAAGACGGUUUUGCUGUCACUUAUAGAUGGAUCCGCGCCGCAUUAGCUAGUUGGUAAGGUAACGGCUUACCAAGGCAACGAUGCGUAGCCGACCUGAGAGGGUGAUCGGCCACACUGGAACUGAGACACGGUCCAGACUCCUACGGGAGGCAGCAGUAGGGAAUCUUCCGCAAUGGGCGAAAGCCUGACGGAGCAACGCCGCGUGAGUGAUGAAGGUCUUCGGAUCGUAAAACUCUGUUAUUAGGGAAGAACAAAUGUGUAAGUAACUAUGCACGUCUUGACGGUACCUAAUCAGAAAGCCACGGCUAACUACGUGCCAGCAGCCGCGGUAAUACGUAGGUGGCAAGCGUUAUCCGGAAUUAUUGGGCGUAAAGCGCGCGUAGGCGGUUUUUUAAGUCUGAUGUGAAAGCCCACGGCUCAACCGUGGAGGGUCAUUGGAAACUGGAAAACUUGAGUGCAGAAGAGGAAAGUGGAAUUCCAUGUGUAGCGGUGAAA